GUUCCUUUAGUCGAGUGGUGACGACGUCGGCUUUUCAUGUCGAAGACACGGGUUCGAUUCCCGUAAGGAAUA
rnacentral:tRNA from 1 species